UGUUUGAUGUUCUAACGUUGGCCCCUGAUCGGGGUUGCGGACAGUGUCUGGUGGGUAGUUUGACUGGGGCGGUCUCCUCCUAAAGAGUAACGGAGGAGCACGAAGGUUGGCUAAUCCUGGUCGGACAUCAGGAGGUUAGUGCAAUGGCAUAAGCCAGCUUGACUGCGAGCGUGACGGCGCGAGCAGGUGCGAAAGCAGGUCAUAGUGAUCCGGUGGUUCUGAAUGGAAGGGCCAUCGCUCAACGGAUAAAAGGUACUCCGGGGAUAACAGGCUGAUACCGCCCAAGAGUUCAUAUCGACGGCGGUGUUUGGCACCUCGAUGUCGGCUCAUCACAUCCUGGGGCUGAAGUAGGUCCCAAGGGUAUGGCUGUUCGCCAUUUAAAGUGGUACGCGAGCUGGGUUUAGAACGUCGUGAGACAGUUCGGUCCCUAUCUGCCGUGGGCGCUGGAGAACUGAGGGGGGCUGCUCCUAGUACGAGAGGACCGGAGUGGACGCAUCACUGGUGUUCGGGUUGUCAUGCCAAUGGCACUGCCCGGUAGCUAAAUGCGGAAGAGAUAAGUGCUGAAAGCAUCUAAGCACGAAACUUGCCCCGAGAUGAGUUCUCCCUGAGACUUUAAGUCUC
rnacentral:rRNA from 1 species